UGGGUCUUCAUCAGAGAGUCCUCCUGGAGAUUUGGGUUCUCUCUAUAGCCAUUGAAGCGCAGCAUGUGCACCGCAGACCGCCGGCGGGCAAGGCGGGCCAGGCUCUCUUGGAGUGUCUCCUCAUCGGCGUCCCGGACGCCCGGGCCGGGAAAGAGUUGCUGCACCAGGUGGUAACGAGCUGCAUCCCCGAGGGCCCGGUUCUCCAGCAGGCGCAGAGAGAGCAGGACGUCACAGUGACCGAGGGCCUGGAAGUUCGCUAAUCCCGGAACUGGACCCCGCCCAAAGCCGCCCUCUUGCCUCCACUGGUUGUGCAGCCGCCGCUCCAGAGCCGUGCGAAUGGGGCCAUGCCGACCAAAGCGCCGAUGGAUGUGGCGCAGGUAGCGCGCCCACUGCAAGGCCCGGCGCACGGUGGCGGGGUCCCAGGUGCUGACGUAGGUAGUGCUUGAGACCGCCAGAAGCUCGGAAAAGCGAUCCAGGUGCUGCAGAAGGGAUUCCAUGAGGUGCGCGAAG
rnacentral:lncRNA from 1 species